GCUCCUUCUUCUUCUUCUUCUUCUUCUGCAAGUUUGUGACUUUGUGUGGUCGAAAUCGCUUCUCUACUUAAACCACUCGCACCGGUCACGACUUCAACGCUCCUUCCCUCGCUUUCUCCGCCACCCCCAAUUCUCUUUCCGAGCUCGACCGCCGCCGCGAAAUGUCCGCGUCCUUCUUUUCGGUCCGCGCGGUCCGUCACCCCGGCUCCUUCGCCGGGGAAGAGCACGGCCCUCCGGCGGCCUCCGGCUGGCUCGCCUCCGGUUUCCUCGGAUCCGCCGGGAAGCUUCGGUUCCGAGCCCUCUCCGUUUCCGCCCCCGCCCCCUCCUCCUCCGCUCGGCGUCGCGGGUCGUCCUCCGUCGUCGUCGCGGUUUCUUCGGAUGUCGUCAAGGAGAAGAAGCUCAAGCCAUCUUCGUCGUCGUCGUCGGAUUUGCUUAUUACGAAAGAGGAAGGAUUGGAGCUCUACGAGGACAUGGUUCUGGGCAGGAGUUUUGAGGAUAUGUGCGCUCAGAUGUACUACAGAGGCAAGAUGUUUGGCUUCGUCCACCUCUACAAUGGCCAAGAGGCCGUAUCCACUGGGUUCAUCAAGCUCCUGAAGCAAGAAGAUUGCGUGGUUAGUACGUACCGAGAUCACGUUCAUGCGCUGAGCAAAGGGGUUCCUGCUCGUGCGGUAAUGAGCGAAUUGUUCGGCAAGACAACCGGCUGCUGCAGGGGUCAAGGUGGCUCUAUGCACAUGUUCAGCAAAGAGCACAAUUUGCUCGGCGGGUUUGCAUUCAUCGGCGAAGGGAUUCCGAUUGCCACUGGUGCUGCUUUCGCCUCGAAGUACAGGCGGGAGGUCUUGAAGGAAGCCGACUGCGAUCAUGUCACGGUCGCGUUCUUCGGAGACGGGACCUGUAACAAUGGACAGUUCUAUGAGUGCUUGAACAUGGCCGCACUGUGGAAGCUGCCUAUCGUGUUUGUGGUGGAAAACAAUUUGUGGGCGAUCGGGAUGUCUCAUCUGAGAGCGACUUCUGAUCCGCAGAUAUGGAAGAAGGGGCCUGCGUUUGGAAUGCCCGGUGUCCAUGUGGAUGGUAUGGAUGUGUUGAAGGUGAGGGAGGUUGCUAAGGAGGCUAUUGGAAGAGCAAGGAGAGGGGAAGGACCUACAUUGGUCGAAUGCGAAACUUACAGAUUUAGGGGACACUCUUUGGCCGAUCCUGACGAGCUUCGUGAUCCUGCUGAGAAGGCUUGCUAUGCUGCAAGGGAUCCCAUCGUGGCCUUGAAGAAGUACAUUCUUGAAAAAAAUCUGGCACGUGAAGAUGAGCUAAAAGCCAUUGAUAAGAAGAUAGAUGAGAUUAUAGAGGACUCUGUGGAAUUUGCGGAUGCAAGCCCUCCUCCACACAGAAGCCAGCUACUAGAGAACGUGUUUGCUGAUCCUAAAGGCUUUGGUAUCGGCCCUGAUGGAAGAUACCGCUGCGAGGACCCCAAAUUCACAGCAGGGACUGCCCAAGUCUAAGCCUCUGCUAUUUGUCGGUUCUCUUUGCUCCUUGUUUUAGCGUGUGUGAAAGUGAACGUAGGGCUGUAGUAGUAUAGUGGAUAAUCAAGCGGGAAAGGGAAGGGACUUUCUUUCAUUUUGGUCGGAUCGACGGCUUCGAAUCUGUCAAAUCCAUUUGAUUUCAAGCCAUUAACAUGAAAAAGAAGGGUUAACAUAAGAACUUAGAAAGUGCUGGAUGAACUCUUCCGCGGCACUAUUCAAGAUUUGAGAUUCAUCCACAACAGUGAUAUGAUGAUCAGAAGCCUCUUGACAAAUAGUGUAGGAAGGAUAAAUUACGACCUUUAUCAGUCAAUGUUAGAACAGAUAUAUAUACUGAGUUUAGGAAAAAUUAUACUUUUCGACCCUAUUUAUUUUAUGCGUUUUCUAAUUAAACUCCUAUAUUUUUAUAUUUGUCUAAUCAAAUCCUUAUACUUUUACAA